rnacentral:rRNA from 1 species
CAUAUCAAUAAGCGGAGGAAAAGAAACCAACAGGGAUUGCCCUAGUAACGGCGAGUGAAGCGGCAACAGCUCAAAUUUGAAAUCUGGCCCUCGGGUCCGAGUUGUAAUUUGUAGAGGAUGCUUUUGGUGCGGUGCCUUCCGAGUUCCCUGGAACGGGACGCCAUAGAGGGUGAGAGCCCCGUCUGGUUGGACACCAAGCCUCUGUAAAGCUCCUUCGACGAGUCGAGUAGUUUGGGAAUGCUGCUCUAAAUGGGAGGUAUAUGUCUUCUAAAGCUAAAUACCGGCCAGAGACCGAUAGCGCACAAGUAGAGUGAUCGAAAGAUGAAAAGCACUUUGAAAAGAGGGUUAAAUAGUACGUGAAAUUGUUGAAAGGGAAGCGCUUAUGACCAGACUUGAGCCCGGUUAAUCAUCCAGCCUUCUGGCUGGUGCACUUGGCCGGCUCAGGCCAGCAUCAGUUCGGCGCGGGGGAUAAAGGCUUCGGGAAUGUGGCUCCUCCGGGAGUGUUAUAGCCCGUUGUGUAAUACCCUGUACUGGACUGAGGUUCGCGCAUCUGCAAGGAUGCUGGCGUAAUGGUCAUCAGCGAC